GGACUUUGUUAAAAUAGUCCAUGUGACAUCAGUGGUUCAACUGUAACUUUAUUAAGCUACAAGAAUACAUUUUGUGCACAAAGAAAACAAAAAUAACAACUUUAUUCAACAAUUUCCUAUUUUCCAUGUCAGUCCGUGAAUACACAGUGAAAGAUUCUAAUGAGUCGGCUCUUUUUAGUGGAUCAAAAACAUACAACACAAACUGUGUGAUCUGAUCCAAACACAUACAGUUUACAACUGAGACGUUAAGGCAGUGUAAUAACUGACUGGUUGUAUGUGUAUACAAAUUGCAUUCAUUUUUUUUUUUAUAUAUAUUUAUUUCCCUAAAGUACUUAAGCAUUAAUAGAAUCUUAAGGAACCAGGAUCAUUAAUGUAUUCACUGUUCCCAUGCAGUUACAUUUCAGUAAUGCUGUCUACAGUACAGUACAUAGGCUUUGAAGUAGCUCUCUAGGUUUUUAGAGUGUUAUUAUGUUGUUUGAAUGAUGAACUCGCUCGAGGAAAACAACAACUAAGGCUCUCUGUGUCCUGAACUGCAAUCCAAGUUAUGACAGCAGUUGUUGCAAUUGCUCAUGUAUUGUUGUAGCCAAUUUUUGCUUGCAUCAGAAAGGGUUGUUCAGCUGUCAAAUCACAGUGCAGUAUUCUAUUAUCUCAACUCAUACUAGGAAACGGUCUGUAUAUUCACAAUAACCCACUGUUUCUAACCUCUCAAUGUUUCUUCUUUCCUGUAUGGGGUCCGUUCACCGGAUCCCAGAGGAGUACUACGGUAACAUUGCCUCACAACUUAUGACUGUGUAUUAAUGACUAUGUUCUGCUUUGCAGCUGCAGAAAAGGCGUUGGCUGUGGGAUAUUAAAGCAUGAUCUCUUGGCAGAAUUCCACAGAGAAAUAUCAAAAUGUUCCGUGAUCUCCUAUUGUGAUGGUUGGCUCAGUUCAAGAGAGCUGCCUUUCUUUUUUGCCAGACAAACAUGCUCCACCAUAGCUAUAAAUUAAUGAAAGGUGCCAUUCGUAGCAAAGACAUUCAGACAGUUUGAGCACACCAAAGUCUGACAUACAGUACAUUGUUUUUGUUGAAGUCUGCCCCGUUGGGUGGAGAUGGCUUCCAGCGUCCCUUUUUGUAGCUGAAAAUAUGAUCCUUCCAAAAUGAAGGUAUGACUGCGAUGGAAAAAGCAACAGAGACUGCGGCACUGCAGGCUCACAGACCUUCAGACACAGCUUUCAUCAUUAAAGACCCAUCAGAGCCUGUGAACGGCCCUUACCUCUGGAUAAAACCCAAAUAAUAAUCAAUCACAAGGCUGACCAGCCAAGAUGCACAAACACAAAGCCCCUGUUUUCCCUCAGAGAGCGGAGAACUCAUGCCUUGAAGGUAUACAGCAUGAAAUCUCCAUGAAAAUGCUCUUCCAGUCGGUGGAGGAAUUCGUGGCAAGACAAGACAGAAAUUGAAACCUGCCGCUCAAUGAAUUGAAGAUUUGGAGAAAUUUUGCCUUACAUCACUCAAUGGAUGCCCUGCAGUGGAUGGGUGCCAUCAGAAUGAGAGAUCAAACAACUGAUAAAAACAUUAAGAUUAAUUCAUUAAGGUUUCCACCUGUUAGCUCCCACUAAAAACAUCUAGAACACAAAAAAGCCAAAGCUCAAGCUCUGCGAGGUAUUGAGGUUGGUAAAAACAACAUAAUAGUUCACAUUUUUGGGAGAACUAUUCAUUUAAAUGUUAAAAAAAAGUAAGUCAUAGUCUUUUAUGGAAGUUAUUAAAAAAGUGUAACAGAUUAUUAUUUUUUUUUUUAAUUAGAAGUUAUAAUAUUUAUUAAUUGUUAAGUGGAUUGUUGUGGACUGUAGUAAGCUUAUGUUCACUGAUAUAAAAAUAUAUUGAUUUUCUAAAGCCACAUUUUGUAAUAUCUAUUCAAUGCUUUAGUCAUCUGCCAUAAAAAAAAAAUCAUUCAAAUCAUCUUCAUUUUCAUAAAUGCAAUUAAUUUGAUUAAUUAAACAGUUUAUCAUUUAAUUAAUUAGAUUAAAUAUGCACACACACAAAACAAAAAUUCAUGUCCUUGUGCUCCCUUGUGUAAAAAUGUGCAAAUAUAAAUACAACAUAAAAAAUAUGUUUUUCAUUGUCUCUCUGAUUGAUGACCUCGUUCAACCUGUUAAAGUAUAUACACCGGAAAUUAUAACAAUUUUACAUUUCUUUCUCAUAAAACCUACUGGUAGGAAAGCAAUACAUUGCAUUGUUGUAGUGUAAUCAAAAUGAAAAAUAUGUUUACCUGCAACCCUUAAAUUAUAACUUGUUUUGUGUGCACACAGUUGUGAGAGCAUGUAAAGCUGUUUUUAUUAACUGAAAAUACAGAGGAAGAUAAUCCCUCCAGACACACACAGCUCCAGCUCGCACAAUAUCUGGCAAAAGCAGGAGCAACGAGCAGAUAGUCCUCCCAUCUAAUGAAGGCAAGAGAGAAAAACAGACACCUUCAGUGUCCAGAUGGGAGUCCGACAUAUUUUUCAUCAAGACAUUCAUAAUAGUUAAUAGUUAAACACUGAAAAUGUCUCCACAACAGUUUGAUUACCAGAUGCUGGAUAUUUCUGGGGGUUUUAAUGAGAUCAUAUCAAAUUGCCCUUCAGUGCCUUUGAAUAAAAGACUAUUCCAGGUCAUGGGUUAUUUAAAGGGAAUUUAAUGUGAGCGCUUAGCGAAGUGCUUGAGCUAAAUGUAAAAUCCAUCUUGUGGACAAUGUUGAAAUGAGAUCAAGUAUAAUAAAGGGUUUUUUAUUUGAUAGUCUAAUGAUGACUGGCCUUCUGCCCUGGACUCAAAGCAAGUGAGUCAUGUUAGGGGGCAAAUCUGCCUUCUAAAUGUACAAAACAAAACAUACAGUUAAAUUUACAGCAAAAACUGUCCGAUGCGGUUGCUUGAAUUUCACAUUCAGAAUUAGCAUUUAUAAUGUAUUUACUGUAUCAACUUUAUUCGUUUUUGUUUUGUAAAAGAGAGAAUACAUGUUUGGAAUGACAUGAGGCUGGGAAAAAAACUAUUUGGGUGGACUAUCAUUUUAAUGAAGGAAAAAGCCUCAUAAAUUAAAAAUGACGCACAUCCUACAUGUGAUAUGUUCUAUAUUUAAACUCAAGUUUGUCUGCUCACGUCAAAUGGAACAUUUUUAUGUGGAGAUUCUGGCCCAAAGACAAAAUCUCAGUAUCACAUUAAUGGAGUCAAUCAUUAGCCUCCUAGUGGCAGGCCUGAUAACAGUAUUAAGGUCAGAGAGUACCAGGGCUUGGGGCAAAAAUGCCCCAGAUGUUUCAGAUGUGGGUAUAAAAAGUGCCUUAUGUUUUGAUAAAUUUCUUGCCAUGGGUUAAGCAACCAUAAUAACUAUUUGAACGAACUGAUUCAACUGAUGUAUUUGAC